UUACAUAUCUUUCAAAAUUAAGAUGCCCUACUGAAUUAAAGAAAGAUGGUGAGACCUCUGGCAUAUUUGCCACCAAGCUAGUCUUCUGAUUUUCUUGUCUCAAUGAGUGUAUUUUCCACUCUGCUCUUUCUUAACCCAAUAAAAAAUUAUGAUACUACUCCUCUUGGGGGUGGGGGUAGGGGACAUGUGUUUCUUCUGAAAUCUCUCUUCAUUUAGAUAUCAUCAAACAUGUUACUUUACAAUCAAACUCAUAAAUUACGUUUACAUGUCAAAAUAUCAUUAACAUGUAAAAAAAUAAAAAUAAGCAAUACUUUAUAGAAACAACUUGCUCCAUUUUAUUGCCUUCAAGGUCUUUUAAGAAGAAGAUUCUUCUUGGUUGUAAGGAUAUUUUAGCACCCAUUUUUUUUAAACCAGAAGAUGAUUUUAUCUUCUAUUUUUCUGUUCAUUCCCCUGCUUAUUAAAUUAAUGUGCAGCUAUUGAGUUCAAUGCAUGUGAGGAUAGGGAGGUAAGAAGCAACUGUAAUAAAAUAUCGUUCUUGUCUCUGCUAAGCUGACACACCUGUGGUAAAAAGCAAAAUUGUGGAUUAUUAGUUUGAGAGAAACUUUAAGUUCCCCUUCUUUUUUUUUUUUUUAAGAUUUUAUUCUUUCCUUUUUUCUCCCCAAAGCCCCCUGGUACAUAGCUGUGUAUUCUUAGUUGUGGGUCCUUCCAGUUGUGGCACGUGGGACACCGCCCCAGCGUGGUCCGAUGAGCAGUGCCAUGUCCAUGCCCAGGAUUCGAACCAACGAAACACUGGGCCGCCUGCAGCAGAGCGCACGAACCUAACCACUCAGCCAUGGGGACAGCCCCCUCCCCUUCUUCAAAAUAACACCCAAGGCUAGACACAGAAGACCUCAAAGCCCGAAGGGACAAAAGAUCCGCAGGACAGAAGGAGCCUGGAUACCUGAAUCACCAUGGGAAGAAAGCCCUCGCUGACGUGGAUUCCUGUGUGGCGCUGUUUCUUGCGUGAAUAGCAAACUUCUGUUGUGUUCAGUGGCUUUAACAUGUAUGGAAAUAGGGAUGGCCUAGAGCAAACUCAAGAACAACAGGAAAGGAACCAUGUGAAUAUGACUAUGGUGAAAAGACAGGAAGGACAAGCCUCUUAGAGAGUUAUCUGCAUCCUGAGGCCUCACUGCCUCCAGUCCACGUGUAUCCCUGAAAUAUGUCUCCACGUAUCUGAGGUGACUCGAGACAAUCAUCUCUGACCCUUAUAUCAUAGCUAGAUAGAUAGGUAGAUAGAUAGUCAUAUAUACACAGAUACGUAUAUUCUUAUGCACUUAGAUGAGACUCACAUUUUUUAUUUUUUGUAUACAUUUCACAUUUUCUAACAUGAACAUAUGUUUCCUUUGUAACAAAUAUGUGCACGCACACACACAUACAAACACAAUCACUACAUAUCUGGCGUAACAAGUAUUUUCCUAUUCAGUUAGCCCCGAAAAUUCCCGAAAAGUAGCGUGCAGUGUCUUGAUUCUCUUUGAUAAAAUAUUUGCAACAUGACAAGUGGGGCAAAUAAGCAAUAAGAGGGUGGCCUGAACUUUCUGGAACAGAUUAUUUUCCUGUAGAAUAAAU
rnacentral:lncRNA from 1 species